rnacentral:rRNA from 1 species
GUAGGUGGCAAGCGUUGUCCGGAAUUAUUGGGCGUAAAGCGCGCGCAGGCGGUUCUUUAAGUCUGAUGUGAAAGCCCACGGCUCAACCGUGGAGGGUCAUUGGAAACUGGAGAACUUGAGUACAGAAGAGGAAAGCGGAAUUCCACGUGUAGCGGUGAAAUGCGUAGAGAUGUGGAGGAACACCAGUGGCGAAGGCGGCUUUCUGGUCUGUAACUGACGCUGAGGCGCGAAAGCGUGGGGAGCAAACAGGGAUUAGAUACCCUGGUAGUCCACGCCGUAAACGAUGGGUGCUAAGUGUUAGGGGGUUUCCCGCCCCUUAGUGCUGCAGCUAACGCAUUAAGCACUCCGCCUGGGGAGUACGGCCGCAAGGCUG